AUAUAGUUUUGAACUGCUGGACACUAUGCUAAAAUGCUAUGCUUUCCUACUUCAAGUUCUAGCUCAUUGUAAAAAAAUUUAAAGAUAUUGUGGAUAGUGGAAAAAAUCGUUUUGAAAAUUGGCCACCAUUCGCAGAAAACGUCCAAAUGUACCUAAAUCCUGUCAAUCAGGCGAUGCUACAGGCAAAAAAAGAAGUUUUCCAAAUAUAAACGUUGUAAUGGUUGAGUCUGAUGACGAGACUGAAAAGAAGAGAAGAAAAGUGCAUUUGUCCCGAUAAUUACGCGGGACAUGACCCGACCCAGGUUGUUUUUCUGACCCACGGGUCAAGCGGGACGGGACAUUUUUUUUGCAUCGUCGACCCGGUUCAAAACCCUUUAAGGAAAAAAACCCGUUAAUUUUAACCCCUUAAGAAAAAACCCGUCCCAUUUGGUCCGGGCCACAGCCCUAGUUGGGAUCAGUCAUUGGCUUAACUCUGAGAAGUUUGGAAUUAUACCAGGCAACCUCGUAAGCAUUAAAUCCUUCCCAGUCGACGGCGACAUUCCACUCAAGCGACCAAGGAUUGUAUUUUGAAUCAAAACGAACCAUUCCAUAGUCUUCUAGUGAUUUAGCUCCACGUUGAUAUCUGCUGACUGUUGCUACCAAAGACGAGUUUCUUAAGGGAUCGAGGAAAGGAAAAUCUAAUAGCUAAUCAAAUUUUUGCUAGUGAUUGGAAUGUCAACUGAAUGGCACCAAUGCCGAAUAGGUUACCUGUAUUUUUUAGCGUGAUGCAUGCAGCACCUCCCGUACAUUUGAACUCGGGAGUCGGGAACCACCAAAGGAAGUCUUAUUGCAUCAAGGAUGCUGUAAGUAAAUUAACAUGAGCUCAGGUCUCUUAAUUUGUUGACUUUGUUUCAAACAUGAUGCUCACUUGCAACUACUUAAGUUUUGGACUUUUGAUUUGGCCUAGCGGAGGAACUAAAAACAAGAUGCUGAGUUAGUGGUGAAACGAUAAAGUACUUGAAACAAAACAAAGUAACUGAGAGAACUUGGUUUUUUAUAUUGCAUUGAAGAAGAAAUUCUACACUAGGAUAGUGAGCAGUUAAUAGACCAAUAUAACAUCCCAGUAUUGCAAUGGUGUCCUGACAAGAACUCAAUAUCUAAUGGAAGACAAAAAUGCUUAUCAGAGCGUUAGAAUUUUCAACCAAUAACUGCACGAAUCUAUACCAAAUUCAAUAUCGGUAUUAUCAUUCUUAUAACUAUAAAAAUGUUGUUUUACUUUCUUUCCUAUUUUCUUUCCCUCAAGAACUUACCUAGUCAUCUGUUCGAUACACCCAAAAACCUUUUCGUCGACAAUUAUUGCAUUUUGAGAAAAAGUAUAAGUUCGUAACUUCUCUAACUUGACAUAACUGUGGUCGUCGACCGCUUGUGAAACGGAAUCAGUGUGUGAUGGACAGCUGACAUCUAGUGUAAUACAGAAGAAAAUCAUACUUCAAGCAAGAAAUUGUCAUUUGCCUCAGAAGCUGGAUGUAAUAGAUGGAGAAGAACGAAAACAGGAUGAAGAAGCCCCUAAAUCAGAAUUUAAGCUGAAAUUCCACAUACGUUACACACACAGGAAGCUGUUAGAUUCGUGCCUUUGAGGAUAGCUGAAAACCAUCGACCUCAAAGCUAAUAAAAAGGGAGUUGUUACAAGACAAUGGCCGAAAUUUUCAUGAUUAUUCACCUUCUCUCAUUGUGGUUUACAUCUAUUUGCGAGGACAACGAUGCCAACUACAAAGCCGCACUUGGUAAUGUCCUCAUGACAAUGAAUUGAGGCAGUCCGCCCGCCGUGAUUGCACCUUUUCAAGGGGUUACAUUCUUCGUAAAGAGUUUAAGGUUAUGAGAAUAGUAGUAAGGGGACACUAUUACUCCAAUUGAAAAUGAAUGGAUACAGGUAAAAAGUUUAGAAGACACUUUAAUUGGAUCACCUUGCAACCUCUUACUUUGAUUUGAAAGUAAUUCAAGUAGGUCGUCCUAAUGCAAUGAUUUCUGAUUUAAUUUUUUUAAUGUCUUUACAGCCCUCAUGCAGCAUUGCAGCCACCAUGUAGACAUCUUAAAACAUGUUUUAGGAAAUGCAAACUUUGAUGCAUUAUUCUUAUCUUGAGGUUAAAUCGAUCCGCAAAGAUAAAAUGCUUGAGGUAUUCCGCCUCGUCCGGCAACUUACCAUCCAGCAACGCAUCCACCAACAGGAUAUAUUAAAGAGGAAAGUAAUUGACCAAAUUCCUACUCGACGAUUUCCAUGCAAGAUAAAUGUUAGAAAUCCAAAGAGAUCUGGUGAGCAGGAUGCAACGGACUAUGUCAUGUCAAACUAUUUGCUGAAUACAAAGAAUACCAUCAGUUCGCCAGAACGAGAGGUUAAUAAUCAUACUGAAUCAAAAGAGGCAUCAAAUUAAACGAGAUUUUAAAAUGAUAACAGUUGGAAGAGCACGUGGAAAUUUCGAAGAACGCUACAUAAACGUUACCUUAAGUCGCUGAUUCAUCUCGAAGAUAAAAUAAGUUAUUUUUAUAAAUUGAA